CCUACGGGUGGCUGCAGUCGAGAAUCUUCGGCAAUGAGCGCAAGCUUGACCGAGCGACGCCGCGUGCGGGAUGAAGGCCCUCGGGUUGUAAACCGCUGUCGUAAGAAGGGAAAUCUAUCGGGGUUCUCCCCGGUAGUUGACCUGUCUUAGGAGGAAGUCCGGGCUAAGUUCGUGCCAGCAGCCGCGGUAAGACGAACCGGACAAACGUUAGGCGGAAUUACUGGGCUUGAAGGGUUCGUAAGCGAGAUGUGAAAGCCCUCGGCUCAACCGAGGAAGUGCAUUUCAUACUGCGGGGCUGGAGGGAGACAGAGGUAAGCGGAACUGAUGGUGGAGCGGUGAAAUGCGUUGAUAUCAUCAGGAACACCGGUGGCGAAAGCGGCUUACUGGGUCUCUUCUGACGCUGAGGAACGAAAGCUAGGGGAGCGAACGGGAUUAGAUACCCUUGUAGUC
rnacentral:rRNA from 1 species